GACGAACCGUGCGAACGUUAUUCGGAAUCAUUGGGCGUAAAGCGCGCGUAGGCGGCCCGGUAAGUCCGCUGUGAAAGUCAAAGGCUCAACCUUUGAAUGUCAGCGGAUACUGCCGGGCUAGAGUCCGGAAGAGGCGAGUGGAAUUCCCGGUGUAGCGGUGAAAUGCGCAGAUAUCGGGAAGAACACCCGUGGCGAAGGCGGUUCUCUGGGACGGUACUGACGCUGAGACGCGAAAGCGUGGGGAGCGAACAGG
rnacentral:rRNA from 1 species